AUUCCAGCUCCAAUAGCGUAUAUUAAAGUUGUUGCAGUUAAAAAGCUCGUAGUUGAACUUUGGGCCUGGCAGGCCGGUCCGCUUUUUGGCGAGUACUGACCCUGCCGGGCCUUUCCUUCUGGCUAACCUCUCCUCUGGAGAGGCGAACCAGGACUUUUACUUUGGAAAAAUUAGAGUGUUCAAAGCAGGCCUUUGCUCGAAUAUAUUAGCAUGGAAUAAUAGAAUAGGACGUUUGGUUCUAUUUUGUUGGUUUCUAGGACCAUCGUAAUGAUUAAUAGGGACGGUCGGGGGCAUCAGUAUUCAGUUGUCAGAGGUGAGAUUCUUGGAUUUACUGAAGACUAACUACUGCGAAAGCAUUUGCCAAGGAUGUUUUCAUUA
rnacentral:rRNA from 1 species